GCUGUCGGUCGUGGAUGUGUGGAACCUGGAGUGGCUCCUGGGGACUACUACUCCCAGCAGGCCUUGCUCCGUCUCUAAGGCGGCAGCUCGGUGCAAGGUGGAGUAAAGCAUGCUGGGAGUUGUAGGCCUCUAUUGAGCGAAUUUACUUAGUAGUUCGCUCCUGUGCUGAAGCGUCCGCGUCCCCUAGGAGGGUCGGGGAUUUCUUUCCCAACCAAGCGUUGUUGAGGCUGAGAGGUGCGGGGAGCAGGCUUGGUUUUUGUAAACUGGAAAAUCCAAGAUCUCUGUGCCCUCCCCCCGAUAUUUUUCUCUGAUUGGCUUUGCCGCCCCCCGCCCCCGCCCCGUGUUGAAGGAAAAGGGCUUUUCCCAGUGCCUGGCUGCUGCUUUCCCGGCUCCCUUCUCCCCCAGCGUUUCACACUACGCAGGGGAUCAAUGGGGACGGAUUUCAAUGGCGGCUCUUCUCCUGUGACAGCUGAACUUCUUCCUGUGGAAUCAGAGCCUAGAACUUGUGUAGCUAGGAAGUUUUGACCUGCCUAGUUCCUCUCAUUUGGAGCAAGCCUCUUUUCUUGCUUGCCGCCAUUGUGGGCUUAAGGGGUUCCCCUCCAUACCCACGCAACACCUGAGCCAGAGAAAGAAGAGGACUUGGGAUGAUGUGUUCAGCAAGAUCCUGCAAGCCAGUGCUGCAUUGUACCUUGAGCAGAGGGCCUAGAGUGUGAAUAUUUCAGUCUGUAAGAGGAAGAAAAGAGCAGACAGGAGAGAGUCCCAGCACAAUAAGGAGAGGAAGAUGCAUGAGGAUAUAAUGGGACUUCUCUGGCAGCUAUCAUAGAUGCUGCACACUCUGUUAAACCCGUAGGUCGUCAAAUCAUGCCUUCACCUCUCUUUGUAGUUCCUGGAGAACUCAGUUUUACCACUUCCCUACAUCCUCUCCCCAUAACAUUCUAUGUGGCAUCGGGGGGCCGCAUCCCUAUUCCUACCACUCCAAACCAGGGGACAGUAAGGACAAUCACAGCUUCACAUACCCUGACCGUGAGAGCCACGGUUGCUGUAUGUGUAGCCAAAAUGGAUAUGAAUGUUCUUUCCCCCUUGUUAAGUUCUGUCCAUUAAUUUAUUAAGUUUUUAAUGUAUUUGCUCUUAAAUUUAACUGAUUUUUUUGCACUAGUUUUGUUAAAUAAAACUAUGGGGGGGGGAAUUCCUUUAUUAAUUCCCACUAUGUGCUGCAGAAGUCUAGCAGUACUGAAAGCAUUCACUCACUUGUUACUCUACAGUGUGACACAACUCAUAGGAUCAGUGACAAACGCAGUGCAAUAAUUAUGUAAAACAAACACCGCAAAAUCAAUAGGUGCAUUGAUAGUAGUAUAUUCAUAGAUGUACACCAGGCACCACACAAUUCCAAACAGGUCCCAAAACUGCAAGGCCAGGUGGAGCACAGUCCACCACAGCACAUUACUGUAGUUCACCGAUAAAGUGCUUUCUCAAGGCCUCCCUCAGCAGCAUUGAACUGCAUUGAGCUCUUCUAAUGGCUCUUGGGUCUGGUUACUCACACUCAACAGCCAGCCGCUCUACUUCUGCCACCAUGGUAACUUUUGCCUCAUAGAUAUUAUGCAGAACAUGGGAGGCAGUUAUAACCAUUGAUAUAUUCUUCUCACACAGAGUCCAGUCAUGUGAGUAAACAACUUUCAAUCUACCAAAAGCAUAUUCAACUGUCAUUCUGCACCUGCAAAGCCAGAAGUUGACUCUUUCCUUAGUGCUGUCAAGCUGACCAGGGUAUGGCUUCAUGAGCCAGGUAGCAAAGGGCAGGCUGGGUUCCCUUAGAUCACUGUUGGCAUUAUUGCCAAUGGUAACUGGGUUGGAAAAGUCCCUGCUUUAAGCUUUCUGAACAGUCCUGUGUUCUUAAAGAUAUAUGCAUCAUGUUCCUUUCCUGACCAGCCACUGUCGAUGUUGAUGAAGCAUUCCCAGUGAUCCACCAAUGCUUUCAUAACCGUAGAGUAGCCCUUCCUGUUGAAGUACUCUGGGGUAAGGUGGGCUGGUGCCAAAAUACAGAUAUGCAUUACCAUCUAUCACUCCACCACAGUUUGGGAAUCCCAUUGCUGGAAAUCCAUCCACUACGUUCUGCACAUUGCUGAGUGUCACAGCCUUGCAUAGCAAGAGACAAUUAUUAGCCUUCCAUGCUUGAAUGACAGUGAGCUGUAGCUCACAAAAGCUUAUGCUCAAAUAAAUUUGUUAGUUUCUAAGGUG